CCUACGGGUGGCAGCAGUGAGGAAUAUUGGUCAAUGGACGAGAGUCUGAACCAGCCAAGUAGCGUGAAGGAUGACUGCCCUAUGGGUUGUAAACCUCUUUUAUCUGGGAAUAAAAUCUUCCACGAGUGGGCUUUUGUAUGUACCUUAUGAAUAAGGAUCGGCUAACUCCGUGCCAGCAGCCGGGGUAAUACGGAGGAUCCGAGCGUUAUCCGGAUUUAUUGGGUUUAAAGGGAGGGGAGGUGGCUUGUUAAGUCAGUUGUGAAAGUUUGGGGCUCAACCGUAAAAUUGCAGUUGAAACUGGCAGUCUUGAGUACAGUAGAGGUGGGCGGAAGUCGUGGUGUAGCGGUGAAAUGCUUAGAUAUCGCGCAGAACUCCGAUUGCGAAGGCAGUGCACUGGCCUGCAACUGACGCUGAGGCACGAAAGUGUGGGUAUCGAACAGGAUUAGAUACCCCUGUAGUC
rnacentral:rRNA from 1 species